CUGCUCACUCCCACAGCACAUAUACUAAAAUUGGAAUGCUACAGAGAAUAUUAGCAUGGCCCCUGUGCAAGCAUGACAUGCAAAUUCAUGAAGCAUUCCAUAUUUUU
rnacentral:snRNA from 1 species